AUACGUAGGGGGCGAGCGUUGUCCGGAAUGAUUGGGCGUAAAGGGCGCGUAGGCGGCAUGUUAAGUCUGGAGUGAAAGUCCUAUUUUUAAGGUAGGAAUUGCUUUGGAAACUGAUGUGCUUGAGUGCAGGAGAGGUCAUCGGAAUUCCCAGUGUAGCGGUGAAAUGCGUAGAGAUUGGGAGGAACACCAGUGGCGAAGGCGGGUGGCUGGACUGUAACUGACGCUGAGGCGCGAAAGUGUGGGGAGCAAACAGGAUUAGAUACCCUGGUAGUCCACACCGUAAACGAUGAAUGCUAGGUAUAGUUGGUAUCGACCCCAACUGUGCCGUCGCAAACGCAAUAAGCAUUCCGCCUGGGGAGUACGGUCGCAAGAUUAAA
rnacentral:rRNA from 1 species